GACGAACGCUGGCGGCGUGCCUAAUACAUGCAAGUUGAGCGGACUUUUGGGAGCUUGCUCCCAAAAGUUAGCGGCGGACGGGUGAGUAACACGUGGGCAACCUGCCUAUAAGACUGGGAUAACUUCGGGAAACCGGAGCUAAUACUGGAUAAUUCUUUUCCUCACAUGAGGAAAAGCUGAAAGACGGUUCUGCUGUCACUUAUAGAUGGGCCCGCGGCGCAUUAGCUAGUUGGUGAGGUAACGGCUCACCAAGGCGACGAUGCGUAGCCGACCUGAGAGGGGGGUCGGCCACACGGGGACUGAGACACGGACCAGACUCCUACGGGAGGCAGCAGUAGGGAAUCUUCCGCAAUGGACGAAAGCCUGACGGAGCAACGCCGCGUGAGUGAUGAAGGUUUUCGGAUCGUAAAACUCUGUUGUUAGGGAAGAACAUGUACCAGUUAACUGCUGGUACCUUGACGGUACCUAACCAGAAAGCCACGGCUAACUACGUGCCAGCAGCCGCCGCCG
rnacentral:rRNA from 1 species